CCUGCCUUCUGGAAUUCUCUCUCCACGUCACUAUGAACGGCACCAAAGUCCACAUUUCCCCCACGUACUUUUGGUUUUGCCCUUGGCUUCUGCUUUUGCUGGAAUCAUUACCUCAGAGUCCCGCGCCUCUGACCCAUCUCAGUUACUCCAGUACUGCAGAUUGAAAUAUUGUAUCCGGAAACUUCUCUUGCUCCAAGAUGGAAAGAUUCUUGCCAGGCGAAGUGAAAAUGGAAGGCAGCUUCAGCCUGAUGAGGACUGGGGGCAGGUGAAACGGCCCAGCAGAUAUGCCUGCCACCAAGCCUGAGCACCUGAGUUCCAUCUCUCCCCACCUCCCGGGACCCACAAGGUGGAAGGAAAGAGCCAUCUGUCUCCCGUACCCCUCCACACACGUAUACAAAUAAUAGAUAAAUAAAUGCAAUGGGUU